UGGGGAAUAUUGGACAAUGGGCGAAAGCCUGAUCCAGCCAUGCCGCGUGAGUGAUGAAGGCCUUAGGGUUGUAAAGCUCUUUUAGCAGGGAAGAUAAUGACGGUACCUGCAGAAAAAGCCCCGGCUAACUUCGUGCCAGCAGCCGCGGUAAUACGAGGGGGGCUAGCGUUGCUCGGAAUUACUGGGCGUAAAGCGCACGUAGGCGGACUCUUAAGUCGGUGGUGAAAUCCUGGAGCUCAACUCCAGAACUGCCUUCGAUACUGGGAGUCUUGAGUUCGGGAGAGNUGAGUGGAACUGCGAAUGUAGAGGUGAAAUUCGUAGAUAUUCGCAAGAACACCAGUGGCGAAGGCGGCUCACUUGCCCGAUACUGACGCUGAGGUGCGAAAGCGUGGGGAGCAAACA
rnacentral:rRNA from 1 species